GAUGAACGCUGGCGGCGUGCCUAAUACAUGCAAGUCGAGCGAACAGAUGAGGAGCUUGCUCCUCUGACGUUAGCGGCGGACGGGUGAGUAACACGUGGAUAACCUACCUAUAAGACUGGGAUAACUUCGGGAAACCGGAGCUAAUACCGGAUAAUAUAUUGAACCGCAUGGUUCAAUAGUGAAAGACGGUUUUGCUGUCACUUAUAGAUGGAUCCGCGCCGCAUUAGCUAGUUGGUAAGGUAACGGCUUACCAAGGCAACGAUGCGUAGCCGACCUGAGAGGGUGAUCGGCCACACUGGAACUGAGACACGGUCCAGACUCGUACGGGAGGCAGCAGUAGGGAAUCUUCCGCAAUAGGCGAAAGCCUGACGGAGCAACGCCGCGUGAGUGAUGAAGGUCUUCGGAUCGGAAAACUCUGUUAUUAGGGAAGAACAAAUGUGUAAGUAACUAUGCACGUCUUGACGGUACCUAAUCAGAAAGCCACGGCUAACUACGUG
rnacentral:rRNA from 1 species